UCCUCGUGGAAGAAUCGCGGGGCCACCCCGACUCCACUCGCCGAGUCUGAUGAACAACUCGGCGAGUCCCAGCAAAUCUUCAAGCUACUCGCCGAGUCUGAAGAACAACUCGGCGAGUCCAUGCCAUGCAGACGAGUAACUGCUUCCUGGGAUAGGUCUCGUCCCGAAGUACACAUGCAUGGGACCUUCUGGACCUCUAAAGGUCCUAAUACAAGACUAUAAUCGUGGGGUAACAAGGCAUUACUUCAUCAAAUCACUAAAUGGGUUCUAUAAACCCUAAUUUCAUAAAUACAUCAAAAUAACAGAUUUGGUCCGAGUAUUACCUGAAAACGCACUCUCUGUGUCCCCCAAAUCUCAGGACUCAAUCCUCCUUGAUAUUCCUUUAGCCAAAUCCCUCUUCUUCUUGCCUAACCAAUUCUUCCAAGUUCCAAAGCUUUCUCCCUUGCUCUAGGCGUCCACAGCGAUUAGGGUUUCUCUCAAUUGACCAAAAGACUGAAAAUGACGGCCUAAGAGGCGUUAAAUACGAUCCAAACUGAACGGUUAGGGUUUCUGCUGAACAGCGUCGACUCGCCGAGUCCAUAUCUGGACUCGUCGAGUCCAGUCGCGGACCCGCGACCAAGUCUGCGAUCCUACUCGGCGAGUCUAGGCUCCAACUCGCCGAGUCCCCUCUUAAAUCACCCCAAAAACAUAAUUUUAAUAAUACCUGAGAUUCCGGGCUGUUACAACUCUCCCCCACUUGGAUUAGACUUCGCCCUCGAAGUCUCACUCUGCAAAUAGUUCCGGAUGCUGCUCCCGCAUUUCGCGCUCCGGUUCCCAAGUCAUUUCUGAUCCCUUACGGUGUUGCCAUUGAACCAACACCAGAGGUACCUCCUUGUUCCUCAGAACCUUGAUCUUCCGAUCCCUGAUAGCCACUGGUCUCUCCGCGUAAUUCAGGCUCGCAUCCACCUGAAUAUCCUCCAAUGGAACCACUGCCGACUCAUCGGCUAUGCACUUCCUCAACUGCGACACAUGAAAAGUGUCAUGGAUCUGACCCAACUCCGCUGGCAACUCCAACCGAUAGGCUACCCGACCUAUCCUUGCAAUCACACGAAAUGGCCCAAUAUACCGGGGCCCCAACUUGCCCCUCUUCCUGAAUCGAAUCACUCCUUUCCAAGGAGAGACCUUCAGGAGAACGAAGUCGCCGACCUGAAAUUCAAGCUCGGAUCGGCGCCUGUCUGCAUAACUCUUCUGUCGGCUCUGGGCAGUCAAUAACCUUUGUCUCACUCGCUGAAUCUGCUCUGUCGUCUGGAGCACGAUCUCCGUGCUGCCCAUCACUCUCUGUCCCACCUCUCCCCAGCAAAUGGGGGUCCGACACCUCCUACCAUACAACAGCUCGAAAGGUGGCAUACCAAUGCUCGAAUGAUGGCUGUUGUUGUAGGAAAACUCUGCCAAUGGUAAAUACGCAUCCCAACUACCCCCGAAGUCUAACACACACGCUCGGAGCAUGUCCUCCAGCGUCUGAAUUGUCCGCUCGCUCUGACCGUCUGUCUGGGGAUGGUAUGCGGUACUAAAAUGCAAUUUAGUACCCAGCUCCUCAUGGAAUUUCUUCCAGAAUCUGGAAGUAAAGCGCACAUCACGGUCUGACACAAUCGAGAUCGGCACCCCGUGCCGAGAUACCACCUCUCUCACGUAUAUCUCCGCCAAUUUCUCCGCCGAAGAACUCUCACUGAUGGCAAGGAAGUGUGCACUCUUUGUCAACCUAUCCACGAUCACCCAAAUUGCGUCAACUCCCCUAGCAGUCCUCGGCAAUUUGGUGAUAAAAUCCAUAGUGAUCUGUUCCCACUUCCACUCGGGGAUCUCCAAUGGCUGUAACUUGCCAUGCGGUCUCUGGUGCUCAGCCUUAACCCUACGGCAGGUCAAGCACCUCUCAACGAACCAUGCCACGUCCCUCUUCAUACAGGGCCACCAAUAUUCCUUCCUUAAAUCCAAAUACAUCUUUGUAGCACCGGGAUGGAUCGAGAAUUUCGAUCUAUGAGCCUCUUCCAUCAACGUAAUACGCGUACCGCCCACGAACGGUACCCAAAUCCGACCCUGAAACGUCAUAAGGCCUCGACUAUCCUUGACAAACUCUGAGAUUAACCCCACAACCCGCUCUUUCUUCUGCAUUUCUGGUCGCACAGCCUCUGCCUGGGCCCCACGAAUAGCGUCCAAUACUGGAGUCAUCACAGUCAGUCUCAAGCAUACAUCUCGCAAUGGAGUGCUCUCCGCCCUGCGGCUCAAUGCGUCGGCUACCACAUUAGCCUUGCCUGGGUGGUACAGGAUCUCACAAUCAUAAUCCUUGACCACAUCCAACCACCUCCUCUGACGCAUAUUUAGGUUGGGUUGAUCCAUCAAAUACUUCAAACUCUUAUGGUCCGUGUAUAUCGUACAUCGAACCCCAUACAAGUAGUGACGCCAAAUCUUGAGAGCGAACACUACUGCCCCCAACUCUAAAUCAUGCGUGGGAUAUCUCGCCUCAUGAGGCUUCAGCUGCCUCGACGCAUAAGCUAUCACAUGACCCCUCUGCAUCAACACUGCACCCAAUCCCGAAAUCGAUGCGUCGCAAUAUACCACGAAAUCUUCCAUCCCUUCUGGGAGAGCUAAUACCGGGGCUUCGCACAAUCUCUGGCGAAGUGUCUCAAAGGAGGUCUGCUGCUCGGGCCCCCAUGAGAACGUAACACCCUUCCGGGUCAAUCUGGUGAGUGGCACUGCGAUCUUGGAGAAAUCCUUGAUAAAUCUCCGAUAAUACCCUGCCAACCCAAGGAAACUUCUGAUCUCAGAGGGUGACUUCGGCACCUCCCAACUCAUCACCGCCUCAACCUUGGCCGGAUCGACCAAUAUCCCUUUCUGAUUAACCACAUGUCCUAGAAACUGGACCUCCCGCAACCAGAAGUCACAUUUGGAGAACUUUGCAUAAAGCUUCUCCGACCUCAAUACCUCAAGGACCUCCCUCAAAUGCUCCUCAUGCUGCUCUCUCGAUCUCGAAUACACCAGAAUGUCGUCGAUAAAUACGAUCACUGACCGAUCCAACAUCGGCCUGCAUACCCUGUUCAUGAGAUCCAUGAACACAGCCGGGGCAUUGGUGAGUCCAAAAGGCAUCACCACAAACUCAUAAUGUCCAUAUCGCGUCCUAAACGCUGUCUUCUGGACGUCUUCAUCCCGUACUCUCACCUGAUGGUAACCUGACCUCAGAUCGAUCUUGGAAAACCAAGAUGCUCCCUGCAACUGAUCGAAUAAAUCAUCGAUCCUCGGCAACGGGUAACGGUUCUUGACCGUUAGCUUGUUCAACUCCCGGUAAUCAAUGCACAUCCGGUGUGAACCAUCCUUCUUUUUGACGAACAGAAUAGGUGCUCCCCAUGGCGAGCUGCUCGGCCGAAUGAAUCCCUUCCCCAGCAACUCCUGGAGUUGCGAGGACAACUCUUGCAUCUCUGGAGGUGCAAGACGAUAGGGCACUUUAGCAAUAGGUGCUGCCCCCGGAACCAGAUCAAUACUAAACUCUACUUGCCUCACAGGCGGUACUCCCGGCAACUCCUCGGGAAAGACAUCUGAAAAUUCGCGCACCACCGGAACUUCCUCAACUGACUUCGGUUUCUCGGAAACCUCCCGCGUAUCCAUCACAUACGCCACAAAACCCUUACAGCCCUGCUGUAGACACUGCCUCGCCCUAGCGGCCGAACAAAAAGCUGAUCCCGAACGGGUACCCUCGCCGUACACCGAAAGAACUCCCCCUCUAGGGUCUCGUAUAGUCACCAACUGACGCUCACAGUCGAUGACAGCGCCGAACCGGCUCAGCCAGUCCAUGCCCACGAUGACACAGACAUCCCCCAUCGCGAUAGGAAUCAGAUCAAUUGGGAAUCCAAUCCCGAAAAUCUCUAGUACACAUCCCCGAAGAACCUCCGUAGCACAAAUCACCUUCUCGUCAGCUAUAGAAACUCUCAAAGGUCGACUCAACGACUCACGACUAACGCCGAUAUGCUGACUAAAGGCUAAGGACACAAAGGACCUACUCGCACCCGAGUCAAAUAACACUAAGGCAGGCACAGAGUUCACAAGGAAAGUACCUACGCGCAUAAUAACAUAAGCAUAACAUAUCGACAUUAAAAUAAAUACAUGAAUUACAACAUACCUGCCACAACAUCGGGCGCAGCGCGGACCUCCUCCGCAGUCAGCUGAAAGGCUCUCCCACGAGCCCUCGGGGCCUCGACCUUCACCGGUCGAGUCUCAGUAGUCCUGGCAACAGGUGCAGAUCCCUGACGAAGCUGAGGGCACUCGGCCUUCCGAUGGCCGGUCUGGUUGCAAUGAAAGCAAACCAUAAAUCCCUUGGGACACUCCCUAGCAAUGUGUCCCUCCUUGCCACACUUGUAGCAAGCACCGGCUCGACACGCCCCAUCGUGACCCUUACCGCACUUUACGCAAGUGCGGUUCUUCGAACCUCCCGUCCUCGAAUCGGCGGACUUGAUCCGCUUGGCUGCCGGCUGAGACUGAGCCGGCCGCCGGUCUGCCUGCUGAGACUCGGCCUCCUCCCUGGCCUGAGUCUCUAACUCGAUCUCACGCUUCCUGGCAUUCGCCUGAAGCUCAGUAAAAGUAUGGUAAGUGGAGUUUGACACAAACUCCCGGAUCUCCCUCCUCAGAACACCCAAGUACCGGCUCAUCCGAGCCUGCUCUGUGGCCACCAGCUCGGGGCAAAACAUCGCCCUCUCAUGGAACUUCCGCGUGAUCGCCGCCACCGAAUCAGUACCCUGCUUGAGGGUUAAGAACUCCUGAACCAAUCGUUCCCGCUCCACCGGGGGAACGUACUCCUCCCUGAACAUGGUAGUGAACCCCUCCCAUGUCACUGCCGCAGUCUCUGCCAAAGUGAAGUUCGCCGUCACGAACUUCCACCAGUCCUUUGCUCCCAGACGGAGCUGGUUCAAAGCGAACCGUACCCUCAGGUGCUCCGGGCAUGAACAAGUGUAGAAGCACCCCUCUAUAUCUGCGAUCCACCUCAUCGCAGCAAUCGGAUCCUGCGUCCCAUCGAACUCUGGUGGCUUCGUGUUGCUGAACUCUCGGAACAGCAAUGAAUCACCCCCCUGUGGCCUAGCAGCGGCCACAGCUGCGGUAGCUGCAGCGGUUGCAGCCUCAGUCAAUGCGGCGUACCGCUCGUCGAACGUCUCCAUCAGGGUGGUCUUGAUAGACCCAAACAUCUCCGGGAUCUCAGCCCGGAUCGCCGCCGCCACCUCCUCGUGGAUCAUCUGACGAAUAUCCUCGUCACUCACACCGCUCGUACUUGCCCCGUGCCGCGGUCUAACCAUGAUAUCUCUGAAAUACAACAUAAAACUAUCAGAGAUUCUACCGAGUAUAAUCGUACUCGACACGCAACCCUACUCAGUCCCAGAUAUCCAGGGAUUCUUACUUGGGCCUCCCACUGACCCGGUGUCCUCGGUAGUACGGGCCCAAUACUACCGACCACACCGCAUCAAUGUUCAUCCCAAGUCCUCCUCCCCAAACUCCAGAUAGUGAGUACUCUACUUCUGAUACGCUCUAUCUACCCGCAUACUAGCAAAGCAUCUCAUAUAGGCAACUUCCCUAGACUAAGGCAUCACAAAUCAGGCCACUCUAGUCCUAUCAUGAAUACCUAGUCUUCUAGCAUGCAUAACAAUUCAUAUCAUAUAAUAUUGUAAGGUAUUUUGGGGAUCUUUACCGUUCGGGCGCUGACUGAUCGUACACACUGCUUCUUUCUUGCUUACCACAAAACCAUUUACAAAAGUUUAUGCCUUUAUUUGAAAAGUUUCCUCAAAUCCUCGGUUUGAGUUCAGUUACCCCCGAAGGUGCACCCGAAUCCCUCAAACCAAGGCUCUGAUACCAAUUGUAACAACUCAAAUUUUUCAAACAAAUUUUUCAUUUUUAAAACAUAAUUAUUUCCAUUAAAAACAAGGCAUAAACAGUUUAAUUAUUCGGUCAAUACAAUUAUUCAAACUCCCAAGAUCUUAAAACAAUCUUCAGUGUGUAUCGAUCAUGCCGGCGCCUUCCCACGGUCCUCGCUAGUACCUGAAAUACAUGCACAACAACUGUAAGCAUAAAUGCUUAGUGAGUUCCCCAAUAUACAACUUACGCACAUACGCCUUUCCAGGCCCGACCUUCCGGUCCAUGUGUCUCAGGGGACUUCCGUCCCUGCUGGGUAAACCUUCCGGCCUUACCCACGCCGACCUUCCGGUCCAUCACACAUCAUAUCGCCUUCCGGCCCAUAACAUAUUCGCCUUCCGGCCCAUAACAUACAUAGCACAUAUAACAUAUAACAUACCACAUAUAGCAUACAUAACACAUAUCAUAUCCGACCUUCCGGUCACACAGUCAAACCCUUCCGGGUACAGUAUAGUGAGAAGACUCACCUCGUAAGUGCUGAAAGCUAGCAACUCCUGAAAUCACUCGCGCACAAACCAACGAGCUACAACCCUCCUAUAACAUUACAUAACUCAUUAACACUCAUAUCAUCUAAGUGUGACUAUCCCUAAGAAGUCAGACUUAGGUCAACUCUGGUCAACGGUCAACGGUCAACUCGACUGGACUCGGCGAGUACCAUGGCGACUCGGCGAGUCUAGUCGUCCUCACAAAUUCCUGAAUAUUCCCUUUCUACUCGUCGAGUAUCCCUCUUGACUCGACGAGGUCCUCGUGGAAGAAUCGCGGGGCCACCCCGACUCCACUCGCCGAGUCUGAUGAACAACUCGGCGAGUCCCAGCAAAUCUUCAAGCUACUCGCCGAGUCUGAAGAACAACUCGGCGAGUCCAUGCCAUGCAGACGAGUAACUGCUUCCUGAGAUAGGUCUCGUCCCAAAGUACACAUGCAUGGGACCUUCUGGACCUCUAAAGGUCCUAAUACAAGACUAUAAUCGUGGGAUAACAAGGCAUUACUUCAUCAAAUCACUAAAUGGGUUCUAUAAACCCUAAUUUCAUAAAUACAUCAAAAUAACAGAUUUGAUCCGAGUAUUACCUGGAAACGCACUCUCUGUGUCCCCCAAAUCUCAGGACUCAAUCCUCCUUGAUAUUCCUUUAGCCAAAUCCCUCUUCUUCUUGCCUAACCAAUUCUUCCAAGUUCCAAAGCUUUCUCCCUUGCUCUAGGCGUCCACAGCGAUUAGGGUUCCUCUCAAUUG
rnacentral:lncRNA from 1 species